AACGGAGAGUUUGAUCCUGGCUCAGGAUGAACGCUGGCGGCGUGCCUAACACAUGCAAGUCGAACGAUUAAGGCGCCUUCGGGCGUGUAUAGAGUGGCGAACGGGUGAGUAACACGUGACCAACCUGCCCCCCUCCCCGGGAUAACGCGAGGAAACCCGCGCUAAUACCGGAUACUCCGCCCCUCCCGCAUGGGAGGGGCGGGAAAGCCCCGACGGAGGGGGAUGGGGUCGCGGCCCAUUAGGUAGACGGCGGGGCAACGGCCCACCGUGCCUGCGAUGGGUAGCCGGGUUGAGAGACCGACCGGCCACAUUGGGACUGAGAUACGGCCCAGACUCCUACGGGAGGCAGCAGUGGGGAAUUUUGCGCAAUGGGGGGAACCCUGACGCAGCAACGCCGCGUGCGGGACGAAGGCCUUCGGGUUGUAAACCGCUUUCAGCAGGGAAGAAGUUGACGGUACCUGCAGAAGAAGCCCCGGCUAACUACGUGCCAGCAGCCGCGGUAAUACGUAGGGGGCGAGCGUUAUCCGGAUUCAUUGGGCGUAAAGCGCGCGUAGGCGGCCCGUCAAGCGGAACCUCUAACCCGAGGGCUCAACCCCCGGUCGGGUUCCGAACUGGCAGGCUCGAGUUUGGUAGAGGAAGAUGGAAUUCCCGGUGUAGCGGUGGAAUGCGCAGAUAUCGGGAAGAACACCGAUGGCGAAGGCAGUCUUCUGGGCCAUCAACUGACGCUGAGGCGCGAAAGCUGGGGGAGCGAACAGGAUUAGAUACCCUGGUAGUCCCAGCCGUAAACGAUGGGUGCUAGGUGUGGGGGGAUCAUCCCUCCGUGCCGCAGCCAACGCAUUAAGCACCCCGCCUGGGGAGUACGGCCGCAAGGCUAAAACUCAAAGGAAUUGACGGGGGCCCGCACAAGCAGCGGAGCAUGUGGCUUAAUUCGAAGCAACGCGAAGAACCUUACCAGGGCUUGACAUGCUGGU
rnacentral:rRNA from 1 species